GAUGAACGCUGGCGGCAGGCUUAACACAUGCAAGUCGAGCGAGCGGCGGACGGGUGAGUAAUGUCUGGGAAACUGCCUGAUGGAGGGGGAUAACUACUGGAAACGGUAGCCAAUACCGCAUACUAUCAGAUGUGCCCAGAUGGGAUUAGCUAGGAGGCGGGGUAAUGGCUCACCUAGGCGACGACCCCUCGCUGGUCUGAGAGGAAGACCGGCAACACGGGAACUGAGACACGGUCCAGACUCCUACGGUAGGCAGCAGUGGGAAAUAUUGCACAAGGGGCGCAAGCCUGAUGCAGCCAUGCCGCGUGUGUGAAGAAGGCCUUCGGGUUGUAAAGUACUUUCAGCGGGGAGACGUUACCCGCAGAGGAGGCACCGGCUAACUCCGUGCCAGCAGCCGCGGUAAUUC
rnacentral:rRNA from 1 species